AAAUGGAAAUGGCAAGAUUGAUCUUUUGAUAGUUCACAUAAAAUUAAUGUAGAAAAGAAAAUUAUUCAUAAUAAAAUUGUCGUACUUAUACAUGUUGCUAAUACAGAAGGAAGGAAUAAAUCUAUAAGUGAAGCAGAUAAAGUGCGCAUAACUAACAAAAGAAGUGUCAUUCAGGAUAUCUUUGAUGAUUGGGGCAUUGAAAAUGCAGAAGAUGACAGUCAGUCGGUAUCUAAAGCUCCAGAUACUGUGGAAAUUGAAUUGAAAAGUUUACUAAAUGACACAAAAACACGAACUAUAGAGGAAAGCACAGUUGUACUGGUUGAAGAAGAAAUUACAUGCAUGGAAAAAGAACCAGUUGUAGAUGCUGAAAAGGCUUUAGAAGUUGCUAAACAAAACAAAGAAAUGCAAGUAUCAAAGGAACAACUGGAUAACAAUCAAACUAUAAAGAAACAACAAGAUAGUAUAAAACCAUUACUCAAAGACCACUAACUCAUUCUAUAUCACAGGCUGUUAGAAAGUCUACAAAAGAUUCAACACGUGAUACUGCGGCAUUUCGUCAAACUUAGCAAAUUAUCCCUAUUAAUCGUAGUCGAAAUUUAACCAGCCAACAACCUUCACAGGUUGAAAUAGCAAAAGCAUAUACCACGACGAAGAAGAACAAGUACAAGUCGAACCAGUCAGAGUCCAAUUCCAUCGCUCCAUACUGAGGAAACACCAAGAUUUUGGAGGACCAAAAUCAAUCUAAAGAGGGGGGUAUGUGACAUCAAUCACAUCUCAACCUACAUCAGUGAUAAUACAUCGACACCCGACCUUCGGACACUUUUGGACACAUCACCACCUUAUCAUCAUAGCAUACACCAAGGCUGUGACGCACCUCCGUCCACAUCAGAGAUAGGAUAUGGACCCCCGACCUUCGGAUACUUUUCUACAUCAUAACCUACACCUAGCCCCUCAACAUCCUAAAACCAAAACGUAUAUAAACCGAGACUUCACCCAGCUCGGGCAGUUCUUGUUCCUCUUCUAGUUGCUGUACUCAUACAACCCCUAUUCUCCGGUUCGGUGUUAUUUUGUAAGUGUUUAUAAUAAAGUUUUAUAAAGGAAAAUAAGUAGUUGGGUUACGACUCAGCCUUCUUACUACCACCCAAGUACCAACUUUACGUGACAGGAGCCGCCUCGGACCUAAGACUGAUAAUAUAGGACUUGGGUUAAGUAGUAGAAAGGUAGUCGCGAUACACUAUGUGGUUUUUAAUAGUUCUUACACACGGUGUGUACGCGAACCUUUCCCACCAAACUAGAUUAAGAGUGGGGCCGCUCCACUGGGAUACGUCGCAAGAGAGGGUAGGAGAUCCGACCGGCCUUGGAUACAGUGUCCAGCCGUGGGAGGGAGGAAUCCGUCUUCAAUGUCUCUGCCAUGUACAUAGCUUUGUUUCCCCCUCCUUCCAUUGUGUCUAAGGCAUGAGCCUGCUAGGUAAGCCUUACUGAUGAGUCCACUAGCAGGCUCUGGACGAAACACACUUUUUUUCUUCUUUUUCUCCGUCUUCCUUCAUAUAUCCGUGAUAAUUAUGUCGUGGAAGAAACAUCGGACUUUGGAAAAGUACGAGGCGCCGGGAUUUGAACCCGGGAUCCGAACGUUUGUACUCUAUGGCGCUAACCACUGCGCUGCCGUCGUCCGACACUAGUUGGUUUCGAGUGGUGAGAUUUGCGUUCUCGUGUGCCGCCACGAGAGGAAAUCUCAGUGUGGGUGUGCUUUCUGAACGAAGAACGCGGAUUCGUUGUUCACACUUUUCGUUAGGAAAGUGAGGGUGCCCAUUGAUUAUAGCCAACGUUAAUGAACGAAGAUAGGAGGAGGAAGCCUCCUACCAACGUGGCUCGUGGGUGACAUUGUUUAUUGGAAAAAUAACUACCCGCUUUCUCCGUUAUUUGUAAGAGUGCGCAAUAAACCUAAGUAUUGUUCUAAGGACCAUCCAUAAACCGAAAACACUUACAGGGUUAGAGAUUCCUUCAAGCUAUUAAGAUUACGUCAAAGGAUUCAGUUUAUAGUAUAUAGUAUGUAGUAGAUCAGUAUAUAGUAUAAAGCUUCAGACGGCGCACGGACCAUCGUACGCGCCGUAACAUAGAGAGUUAUAAGAAUAUACAUAAAAUAUAAUUAAACAUCGCAAAAGUAACUUAAUUAGAAAUGACUAGAAUGUAUGAUGUAUAAUAUAAUGAAUUCAAAUUGUCUAAAAAAUACUACAAAUUUAUAGAGAUUUUACUAUAAAAUGUUUUUAACAGAAGCUGAUACAGUUAUAUAGCAUUUUCAAGCAUUUACGAACAUUAAUGUACGAAUUUGAAAUUAGCAAUAUUGAAGCGCGGUACUCGGAAAGACGAAUGUACAUGGAUAAUUGUAUGCACUCAUCAACGAUACGUUUAUAAUUGCAUGCUUGAUAGAAAAAUAUCAUCGUAAAAUUGAUAUGAUUUCAUGGAAACGCGUCUAACUUGGUAUCUCGAAAGUAUCUUAAGCAAACUAAUUAGCGUGCCUGUUAUGUCUUUUAAAAUGUAAAUUAACAUGUAACAAAGAAACCUUCAUCAAUUUGAUUCGCUUCAAACUGCGCAAAUAAGUAGUAUAAAUAAUAUUUGUGAUAGAUUUGGCAUCAAUUCCAUGUUUCCUUUAAUAUUUGCCUUUAGAAAGUCCAAUUCGUUUCACGAUUAUACAAAUUACUAAAAAAAUGUCUAUAUUAGUAAUUUAUUUAUUUUGCAUUAAUCGUGACAUGUUAGUUGCAUUAUGUUAUAUGUAAACUACCACAGAGGAAAAAUGAUAAUCUUUCAGUUAUUAGUUUUCUGAUUUUAAUGUCAUUUUAUGAGUACUUUAACACGAGGUACUUGUAAAUGAAAACAACCAAUUAGGUCUAAAAACAUAAGCCUGUUACCAAGACUCUUAUUAAAUUGAACAAGCUUUUCAAAAAUCGAACGUGUAUAUUAACGCGAACUUAUUAUUUGACUGAUUUGACUGAUUUGACUGACAUCCGAAAUUGGUGAGAUCAUAUGAAAUUUUGCUUUUCGCGGUUCGGUGUAUAAGAACGCGUCACCGAUUGCUCAACUUUCGAUAUAAAAAGCGGAUCAAGUCUACCGGAUUAUCCUACAGACACGCAUUAAUUCGUAAGAGUUAGUCAUCAUCUGGAUAAUAAUUAUCUGAAGAAACUUUCAACGUGAAAAUAUAAAAUUUUCAUUGAUUACAUAUUGCGUUCGCCAUAAUUGAAAAAAUGGUAAACCUUCGAUCUCAUCUUUCUAAUACACAUUUUCUUUACCUCGUGAUAAAUAAAUUCUUGGAAAUUUAGGAAAAUUUUCAGUGAUCAUUUUAAGGAAUUUGACAAAUUUCCAACGAGACUAUGUGACACCGUUAGGUAAAAGUGAUUCAAAUGUAGUAGCGAUAUUAAACGAGAAAUCUAUAAAGGUGUCAUUAGAAAUUCUAAGAAUGUCUCUGCAUCUUUAUCUUAGGUAUUACGCCAAUAGUUUUCAUUACCGUGAUGUAAUAUUUAUCAUGCUUAUUUUGUACGUAAAACGAAUCGUUGGAAUAUUCCCGCAGCUAACGAAGCAUCUCCCAAAAGUUAAACCGAAGAAAUUAACGCGAAUAGUUAAGUGAAAUUUUUCCAUUAACUUGCUGACCAACCGGCAAAUAAAAAAUCAUAAAAAUUGUUUCAAUGUGUUGAGGUCACGCAUAACUUCUUUUUUCAUUGACGAUUACCAAACAGGUAAAAUUUCGAAAUUGUACGAAGGCCACGUGACCAGAUCGUAUUGGAAUUGGAAGUGCAUGGAAAAAGACAACUCGAAGUACAAACCUUGAGCUGUACUACUCGAAGUACAAACGUGAACUAAUGGAUGCAGAAAAGCAAUUAACGCCAAACAUCCGAACAGCAUCUUGGAGCCCGUCAUUGUUCUGAAAUAAAAGAAGUGACGAAUUAAAAAGACGCAGGACUAAUAAUAAUAAAGGAAACUUAGUUCGUAUUAUAAAUUGAAUUUACAUCAGAAAAGAAGCACGAUCAAGCGAAACAGAUCGUAGAAAUGACAAAUAUCAUCGAUAUACGUUUCAGUGUAAUUUCACUUUUGAAAAUUAUUUAGUUUAAUACGAUCGUAUUCAUCGCUCUGAAACUUUCAUUGUGCUGCAAUUUGUGCUGCGUCUUUUUAAUUUCUCUAUCUUUCUGUGUUUUCGGAAAAAUUACUUGAAAGAUUAAGAAUUGCUUGCCUUAUUUUAUUUUCGAUUAGUUAGGAUUUGAUUAUUCCAGGUAAGGUUUAUUAUUUAUAACAGGUUUUAUCACUUGUUUAUUAUUUAGGAGUUUGUUAUUUUAGGAUUAGUACCUUUUAGGAUUUCUUAUCCUUCGAGUUUCUGUUUCAGAUAUCUAGGUCUAUUUCAAGAUGUUUUAUUACAUUAGGAUUAUUUAUUCGAUUAAGAUAAUUUAAGAGUUUCACAAUGUACAAAGAAAUAAUCGCGUGAAAUUUAGAUUUAUGCUUUAAACGUAUUAAACACGCGGUAAUUUCAAUGUCUAUAGCCUCGAACGUGUUCUGAUUAGUUGUGUCAUUGUCUGUGACAUUGAAAUCACAAAAAUCCAUUGCAAGUGUGCUGUCAUGCAAUGUGGAUGUAAUUGGGUUUUUUGGGUAUUUCCUGUAUCAUCUGAUUUGUACAGUACUAUUUUAACGCAAGGACAGGAAAGUUAUUAUAUAUUUCCCGUCCAUUAUUUGAAUCGUUGUGAAGUGUAACGAAUUAUAUUCGAUUCGAGGAGAUGUUAAUGAAUUACCCAUUUCAUAUGUAAUUACGUGGAAAUAAAAAUCAUUGCAAAAAUAAUUGAUCUAAUGACAACGGAAUUUCCAAUAUUUUUUUGUUUCGUCACGUCUUUUUCAUAAUAUAUCUUUUAUAGGUACGUGAUUUAUUAAUCGUUCGAAUGGAAAUAAUUAUUCGUAUAAUAUUCAAACGAUUCUAGCCAUAAAAUAAAUUAAAACGAUACCUGUAAUGCAAUCUGCGUAUGACGUCAACCUCGAUCUAUGCUUAUACAAGAAAUUUUAUCAAUUAAUGACUAGAUAUACAAUAAUCAAAUAUUAUAAAAUUUCCUGAAAACCUUUAGGUGUUAAUAUUAAGGUGUUAAUAUCUUUAAUAUUUGCAAGUUAUUGUUUAGCGCUAAUUAGUUAGAAUGUAACAAGUGGUAUACCAGAAUUGAGAUAAUUAAGCCACACGAACAAUCUUAUUUAGAUCUUUUUAAUUUUUUAAUUCUCUUUUGCUCUAAUACUUCGUAAAAUUAAUCUUCAUUAGCUACUACACUUCAUAGAAUAACAAGAGAUAAUUUUUCUUAUAUAACGUUUCAUUCAUAAAAUCUAUCAUUAAAGUAUAUCUUCAUAAAAAUAUUAUUCCAUACUAACGGUAUAUUUGGUGUCAUACGAGAUAACAGAUACCAGUGAUGACAUAUGUAACUUUAUAAAGAUAUCUCGUUUUAUUAUAUAUUAAAAGAAUGUACUCAUUGCUGCUAUAUUUCAGAUGAAAAAAAGGAGGCAAUGAUUUUACAGUAAAAUCGUUCGUUUACAACUGAUUCAUUUACAUUUCAUGAUAAUACUGUGCAUUCUGAAUAUGCUAUGAUUUGGUUUAAAAUAAUAAAUAGUCCAUUCUUGCAUACUAUUGCUCCAGCUUUACUUGUAUUUUCGAUAUUGGUAUAAAUAGAAAGACAAUUAAUGUCGUUCGAGUCUAUUUUCGGAUCAUUUAUAUUACGUUUAAUCCAUAUAGUUAUUAUAUGAGACAUAGUAUCGUAAAAUUUGGAAGAAUAAAACGUUCGUACAGGAAGUACAUUUUAUAAGAACUCCAACAAAUCUGCGUGUGCACCUAAAAUACAAACCGAUAGUGAUUGUUCAUAAGUUUAUAUACAUUAUCUAAUGUCAAUCGAAG